AUCGACACAGGUGUCCUCCCCAAGGGGAGGCUGAAAAAGGAAGCGGGUGAGAAUCCCGCGCGGAGCCGCCGCUGUAUUUGGGGAGCGGAAGCCACGAUGUCACUGGUGAAAACCGGGAAGACGGCCGACGCGAUGAUCCAUGAGCCAGAAGACUUGCCUGAGUUUCUG
rnacentral:ncRNA from 1 species